AUGGAGGCUGACAUGGUUGUGCAAGCUUUCAAAGAUAGUGAGGAAAGUCAUGGGGUGAGGUACACAAUUUUUAUUGCAGACGGAGAUUCUACAGCGUACAGUCGGAUAAUUGAAGAAGUAUCUUACGGUAGAGAAGUAAUAAAAAUUAACUGCACUAAUCAUAUCAUGAAGAACGUGGCAAACCGACUUUAUGAACUGCAUGCUAGCUUGAGCAUGAGAGAUAGCCCCAAAGAGAAGAAAUGGCUGUCUAAGGAGAAAAUCAGAGGCAUUGUGAAGUAUACACGAAAGGCUUUGGAGCAGAUUUCCGAAAUGGGAGUUGAGCGGGAGGAAGUCGUCAGCAUCAUACAGCAAUUUGCUCCUCACUUCCUUGGAGACCAUAAAGAUUGUAGAACAGAAUUUUGCCUGAGUUGUGGCAAGGUAGAAAAGCCAGAAUUGAACAGUAGUUUCUUGUGGUCAUUUUCUGAUAUCCUCCAGAAUAUAACAACACAUACGUUGAGCAUCAUGGAGUGCGAAACCACAAACUUAUGCGAAGGUUUCAUGCACCUCAUUACGAAGUUUACAGGUGCCAAACAGGUCUUUUAUGGUAGGAGAGGAUCUUACUCGUUUCGUGUUCACGGGGCAACCUUACUCUUCCAGUAUGGGCAGGAAUGGCGAUCUAGAGUUUUGCGCCGUAUGAACAAGGAGACUCCCUCCAGCCUUGUAAAGAAGAGGGAUCAAGUAAGGACUCGUAAGAUUGUCGGAACAGCUAGACGCAGACUGGAAAUGAAACUCGAGAGACAUAUCGAUCAGAGUAACGACGAUGAGUCUGAAGUUCUUGCCCGACCACUCGCUCCAACAGAGAAAGAAAAGUCUACCCUACAUUAUGGAAGAUUUUGUCAAAGAGAAGAUAUGCCUGAGGCAGAAUUGAAGUUGAAUAUGGAGAGGAAACUGAAACUGUACAAGCUGACCGAAAAGAACGACAAGAUCUUGAAAAACGAACAAUUGGUCAAUCAGAUAAUAAGAUAUGGAAAGCAGAGCAUAAGUUCCGGCUCACAGCUUCUAUGUUUGGCUUAA
rnacentral:lncRNA from 1 species